AGCCUGAAGAACCAAAAACGUUACUUUUGCUUUCUGAUAUUCAAGACUUCAAGCUUUACUAUCCUAAAGUAAAGUGAUAACCAUAUUUCUUGGUUUAAAAAAAUCACUUGGGGAAAAUAGUAGUCACUUGGUUUUAAUAAAAUCUGAUUCUUAGUUCAAAUUAAAAUUCAAAGACAUCUUGUCUUUGAAAACGUUACAAAGCAGAAAACCAAUUUCGUUCUUGAAUUUCAAGAGUUUCAAGCAGACUUUCGUCCAUAUUAUGCAGAAGCAGAUUCGUUCUAUUAAUUCCAGGAACAGGGUAUUUGGAGCCAAAUCGAGAGGCAAGGACGUCACGGACUAGAGUUUGGCAUGGCUUGAGAUUCAAGUAUUUCUGAGCUCGGUGGCAGGUUCAUCGGAGUUAGCAAGAUCCAGGUAUCUCGGGGCAUGGUAGCAGUUGCUAAUCAUACCAGUUGGAGACUUUCUGUGGAGAGUGCGAGGUAGCUGCCUGGCGAUCGCAGUUCCGCCUUCUCCUUCCUUAUCUUCCUUGUAGUAAUUUUGUUGGAUAUUCCCAGACUAUGUAGUUUUGUUUAUUUUGAACAGUUGUAGUAUUUUGCUCAUGACUUAGUGACACUCGAGGUCGGGCUUGUACUUUCUUUCCACUCGUUUUGAUUUUAUACUAUUACCUUUUAUCGGAUUUCUGUUAAAAUAUUAUUUUUCUUAAGUUUUUAAAUAAAAUAUGAAGUAUUUGGAAAUAAGUUGGCUGACCUAGUUUCACGAUAGGCGCCAUCACGACCGGGCCGGUUUUUGGGUCGUGACAUUUUUAUAGUAGUGUAAUGUUCCAGGAUAGUAACCUUACAAAAACUGCUUCUUCUGAUUUUCUUUUGGCUUAAAUUAAGUAUCAAUUUGGUCUUACUUUUGUCAUGUCACAUGAAAUUUUAAGCAGAUAGCUGGAGCUGAUCCAGUUCUGUGAUAAUCACAGUAAUUGAAUUCUUCAAGUAAUUGUUAAGCAUUUUUGGUUGUAUUUCUGUUUUUAAGAGUUGUUUUUCCUUUGUAAUUAAUGAACAAUGUAAGCAUGCUAAUCUGCUUUUAAAGCUACCAGAGAAAUCUUAAGAAUCGCUUUUUCCUUAAUAAUGCAGUCUUGGACAUCCUAUGGUGUUUGAUAGUAUGCCUGAAGCAAUUGAACUACUUUUUGUUGCUUUUCUUUUUUUAGUUUCACCAGAUUUUCUGUAGCAGGGAGUACUUUAUCGUUCAACAAUCCAAAGAUGCAUAACUUAUUUCUAUUGAACAGCAUUGGCUACAAUAUAUGUGUGUUAUUGUAGUUGCAUGUCUAUCCUAGUGGCUGAAACAACAUCUCACUAUUUGCUAUGCAUAAAAAAUAUUACAAGUAGGUAUAUUUCAAGCGUCAGAACUUAUCAAACUGAGUCAUUAUGGAGUUCAGUCAUCUGAUUCAAUUAAUUAUUAGAAUAAGUUUGGAUGAAGAUUCAAAUUCCUCUUUGGAUUUGUCAAACUAGCUAUUGCUCUGUGUAAGUCUUAAAUAAAUAUCCGUGGCCGUAGUAGAUUGAUAUAGGUGAUCCUGAAAUAGAUCAGAGCAGCAUGUAUUGAGACAUGAAUGGCAAACCAAGUGAAAAGGUACCAUUAGUUUAACUUCCAUUGAAAAAACAAGAUCUUUUUUUCUCUUUCCAGAUCAAUCCUCUUUUUUUCCCUUUCCUUUUUCCAGAAAUAUUUUUGUAGAUUAUGUACAAAAAAUUGAGCAGUAUCGCCAAUGAAAAGCUUUUAGAUUUGGUUUUUGUACUUGCAAAGUAAUAUGUUUGAUGGAUUUUCAGUGUUGCCAAUCUAGGUGUUUCCAUGUGAAGUUUAUAUGGAGUAGAUGAUUAACAGUGUGAGUUGGAUAUGAUGUUGCGACUAUAAGCAUGUAUUUAAAUUGCGUGUGUUCUUUCUUGCUUUCCAAAUUAAAUUUAAAUUGAGUGAUUGGAGAGUUACUGGUAGAACAAAGUGAUUAAGAUAUUAUAAAAUUAUAAGUUUCAUCCAAAAGAAAAUGUAAAUUAAGAUAUCAUAGAAUAUUGUGGUUUCCUUCUUUUUGAGGUAUAGUUAAAAAUGGGACCUCUGUGUAAGUCUUAACAUUUUUGAGUUCUUUUAAAAGGCAUUCACAAAUGUAAGGGAUGUUAGUACGUUUUUAAUACGGUAUUACAGUUUACUGCUUUGUACUAGAAUUUCAGAUCUACAAUUCAUUCUUCAUUAAUCUCCUUCAAUGACAUUUUCCUUUUUUGUUUGGCUGAUAGGUCCAAAAUGGCUAUUGAGUAUCUGAAAAUUGUUGUGGCUUUUAGAUGAAGUGAACUUUUAGAUGAAGCGAAAACUGACUGUUCUGGGUACAAAAAAUUUGGUUUUUAUUAGAUUAUAUGUUCACAUUCAAGUUUAACCAUUGUGCUGCUCUCAUGAUUUAUUUUCUGCCUUUAUUAUGGUCAAUGGUGUGACCUAGAUCAUUGAAUAUGAGUUUCCGGAAACCCAAUAACUUUUGUAUACACCCUGCAUUAAUAUUAAGAAAUUCACUAAAUAUUCGUAAAUAUCUAAUUGUGAACCCAAUUAGUAUUGCAUAUUAAUUUGAAAUUACGGUAUGAACCCAUAAACUUCAAAUCCUGGAUCUGCAUCUGAUUGUGGUUCCUUUAUUGUUUUUCUUUAACAUGACAUUAAUUAACAAUGCUUCCAAUAGAGCCUAAACUUGGAAAGCUAUACGUUCUCUUUGCAGGGAGUUUUAAUCUUAUAUCAAGGAUACUAACCUGUUAAAUGCAAUAUUACCAUAUAUAGUUCCUGGAGUUGGAGUUACAAUAAGCAUAUCUUUACAAAAAUUUUAUGGUAUGGUUGUAUCCUAGAUUUUUCUCUGAUAAGGUAAGACAUAGGAUAUUUAAUUUCGUAUUUGCAGUAACCAUAUUGCUAUCCAAGUCUCCGAAAUUUUUUCAUCUAGAAAUAGACUGAGAAGUAGCAUUUUCCAGUAAAUACAAAUGUAUAAUGUCAUAUUAGUUAAUUUGUUCUUGGGUGAUUUUAAACUUUAGAAAAAACCACAAAGAAAUACUAAUACGUCUUCUACAAAAGCUCUCGCAUUCAUCAAGUUGUGUGUAUUUUGUUCUGCAUCCUCUUCUUUAUUUGCUCCUCUUUGUGGCUUUCACUUGGUUUCUUUCAAAUCUCUCCAUUUUGGGUUCAGAUGAUUACAGUAAGGUUGAAUAAGAUAUAUUCUCAAAAGAGGCAAGUUAUUUGAACUAAGAGUGUAGAAGAUCUUCGAGCUGUUUUUGGUGAAGCAACCUUCCUCAUUUUGGCCCGUCUUAUUUUCUCAUCAGAUGUUCAACGGUUUUUCUUACUUUUUUCCCUGGUUUGGUUGUAGGUGUUUCCCUAUUCAUGAUGAAUGCUUACCAUAUUCUGCUAAACUCUGCCGUGUUAAUUUUAUUUUAUCGACUUUAAAUGCCUCUUACAGGAGUAUAUAUUUGCUAAUUGUCAACCAAAAACUGUGGAUACUUACGAAAAUACAUUUCUAACGCAAUGGAGGCUAAGGAUUUUGCAUUGAUGUCUGAGAAGAGAAUUGCCAAGGGAAUCCGAAGAGCUGCUAUUACAACAUAUCAUGCUUUUGAGAUUGGAGAUUUGGCAUCCUCGCUUGAGUAGAAAAUGAAUGAAGCUUUUGAUAAUGAAGAAAGCUAGCUGGAAGAUGAUAUUUUAAGGCCGUCUGAAGUAGUAAUAUCUAAGAUCUGUGCUGUUGUCCAUUCCAAGAAUUACUGUUCCAUUUUCUAUUUUGCCAGGAAAUUUUGCAUUCUUUCCAA